GACGUAGGGCGCGAGCGUUGUCCGGAUUUAUUGGGCGUAAAGAGCUCGUAGGCGGCUCGUUGCGUCGGCUGUGAAAACCCGCAGCUCAACUGUGGGCUUGCAGCCGAUACGGGCGGGCUUGAGUUCGGUAGGGGAGACUGGAAUUCCUGGUGUAGCGGUGAAAAUGCGCAGAUAUCAGGAGGAACACCGGUGGCGAAGGCGGGUCUCUGGGCCGAAACUGACGCUGAGGAGCGAAAGCGUGGGGAGCGAACAGG
rnacentral:rRNA from 1 species